rnacentral:rRNA from 1 species
CUACGGGGGGCAGCAAUGGGGAAUAUUGCACAAUGGAGGAAACUCUGAUGCAGCAACGCCGCGUGGAGGAUGACACUUUUCGGAGCGUAAACUCCUUUUAUAUAGGAAGAAGAUGACGGUACUAUAUGAAUAAGCGCCGGCUAACUCCGUGCCAGCAGCCGCGGUAAUACGGAGGGCGCAAGCGUUACUCGGAAUCACUGGGCGUAAAGAGCGUGUAGGCGGAUUAAAAAGUCAGAAGUGAAAUCCUAUAGCUUAACUAUAGAACUGCUUCUGAAACUCUUAAUCUAGAAUAUGGGAGAGGUAGAUGGAAUUUCUGGUGUAGGGGUAAAAUCCGUAGAGAUCAGAAGGAAUACCAAUUGCGAAGGCGAUCUACUAGAACAUUAUUGACGCUGAGACGCGAAAGCGUGGGGAGCAAACAGGAUUAGAUACCCUCGUAGUC